ensembl:lncRNA
CUGAUGCACGAUCUUGUUAGAUUGUCAAGGCUUAAUUCUAAAGAGACAUUUGGAAGAACGGGAGGCUAUAAUUUAGAGAAGAGGAAGAAUUGCGUGCUUUGGAGACAUCCAGUAAAAGAGUGGCAUCAUAAAAUCAAACAACACUGCAGGAAUUAAAAAUUAAACUCACCAUCUUCAUAUUGCCUAAAAGCAAACCUUAAAAAAUGUCUAAUCUCACAGUCACCAAUCAAAAAUCCUUCUAAAUCAUUUUAGAUAUUUCCCCCAACUAUUCUAAAAUUCAUUUUCCUUACCUGGAACAUAUUCUCCCAGGAACCUUUAAAAAAAAAAAAAAGGCUUUCAUUUUAUAAAUCAGGAAAAUUGCUGCAGCCAACAGAAGUCUUGGUGGUGGAGCUCUCAGGAAGCUGCGAGAAUAAAGGCUGCUGGGAGAAGAGUGAGGAAGAGCAGCACCAGGGGCCCUGCAUUGUUGAUACGGCAGGAGCCAAAAUUGACAGAGCAUUGUAAAUCAACAAUAAUAAACAAAUUUAAAAAUAAAUAAAUAAAUAAACACACACACAAAAUAACUCAAUAGUGGGUUUUCCAUUAUACAAUACACAUAUUUCAUUAAGCUCUUUUUUACACUUUUCACUAAUUGUUCAUAAUUUCUUUCUACGAUAGAACACGAACCAGCUUGUUAAUGAGAUCUUGUUUGCUUCCUGUGAGCACACCUCUAGGGCACCUGUUCCUGGCACUUUACAAACCUAGUCCUUCAGACUCCAUUUGGUCCUAUGAGCCCCUGGUGGCCUUCCACAAAUUGCUCCUUAUCGUUGUUGGAUUAGGAAUAAUCAGAGUCAAUUUCAGUGAUCUGCAGUGAAGAACUAUGGUUGAUAUGGAAAUUAAUCCUAGGAGGGGGGUUCAGGAAACUUAUUCAGGAAAUAGAAAGAAUUGGGAACUGCUUAUCUAACCAAGAUUACGAGGAAUACAGACAAGUCCUCAUUGAUUCUAAUGGCUCAUGGCAUCCGGUGGUGAGUGUGUGAAUUAAAUGCAUCUCUGCUCACCUGGCACCAGCUGUUCAUGGUAGGCAAUGAUCAUCGCUCUCUCAUAAAAGAGCAGAAAGGGUCUGUGGGAUUCAGGGGCCCUGAGGUGAGAAGUAGAAGGGCAAGCUCAAAUCCAAACGUUCUUGGUUCAAGGCAAAGAAAAAUCUGAGAACUUUCAAUAACCAUGGAAAAUGACUCUUUUAUGAACCAUCAAAACAGAGCUGCUUUCUAAAAAACCCACAAAGUUUGGUCCUGUGGAUAUUUGAAUCACAGCAUUAAUUGAAUUCAGUGUCUUCAGGUCUCCUGAAAAGAGCAGGACCCAGAAGUGGGGCAGUUAAUUUGGGGACUGAGAAUCCUCAGAAACCCCUGUCCCCAUGGGCCUCCUUUGCCCUUGGAUGUGGCUUCUUCUCCUUGCUAGGCAGCUCCAUUGCCUGCAGAAGUUCCUUGCUGGGGAAGAAGCCACUUUCCCCACCUUGUUCAAGACACCAGAAUCAUCUGUUCUUCAAGCCCAAACCUUUGAAGUGAAUUUUAGCCUAUCAUUUUUAGGUAGCAGAAUUUUGUAAGCUCAUAUUGCAAAGUGACUUUUAUUUUUGUGGUAUUUUGAAGGCCCCCAUGAGUGGGAUUCAGUAAAUCUCUGAUUUAGCACCCUCAUAAUUUUCCCACUAAAAUAAAACAGUUUAAUGAGUUAACAAAUCAUUAGUACUAAUAAUUACUAAUGAUAUACAACUAAAAGCUGUUUUUAAAUAAAUAAAAAUUCUUAAGUAUACUUAGUACUUUUCCUCAUUAAUCUUAAUCUUUAUUCAGUCACCACCUUAUUUUUCUGUUUCGCUUCUCGUUUUUAUUAUUGUCCUUUAUUUUAAACGUACUAUAACCAUAUUAGAAAAAAA